AAGAUCAUACUUCACAGGAUCAUUUCUGUAGUAUAUCUUCGCAUACUCUUCACAAACGUGUUGAGUUAUUGCAACCGCGAUGAAGAGACGUAGCUCUGCAUCUUGAGCGUGAGGCUGCAAUAUUUUACUCCCUUCAGAGAGUAAAUAUUGUCACGAUGAUCGUUCAGGCCACCUCUGGUGGUUUUACGGAUGUGGAGCAUUCAGAGUGGU